rnacentral:rRNA from 1 species
UUAAUACCGGAUAGAUCAAAGAAACUGGAAUGUUCUCUGGUUAGAAACUCCGGUGCCCAAGGAUGGGUCUGCGGCCUAUCAGGUAGUAGUGGGUGUAACGUACCUACUAGCCUACGACGGGUAAGGGUUGUGAGAGCAAGAGCCCUGAGAUGGAUUCUGAGACAUGAAUCCAGGCCCUACGGGGUGCAGCAGGCGCGAAAACUUUACACUGCGGGAAACCGCGAUAAGGGGACCCCGAGUGCCAGCACCUAGUGCUGGCUGUCCAGCUGUCCAAAUAACAGUUGUUAGCAAGGGCCGGGCAAGACCGGUGCCAGCCGCCGCGGUAACACCGGCGGCCCGAGUGGUAGCCGUUAUUAUCGGGUUUAAAGGGUCCGUAGCCGGCCUAUUAAGUCUCUUGGGAAAUCUGGCGACUCAAUCGUCAGGCGUUCA